AUACCUCGCAUUGCGAGCGGCCGCCAACGC
rnacentral:sRNA from 1 species